UAUAAAAUGCAUCACCAAACUUAAUGAACUCUGGUACUACAGGCUAAAAAUGAAGAGGUUUUGGCAGUGGCACACAGAGAAAAGGAUAUUUAAAAUUGAUUGGCAAAAUGAUUUCUUUUUUUACAAAAAGCCUUGGAAAAUAAAACUGCAUUAGUUAUGCAUAAACAGAGUAAUGUUUGCUUAUUUAUUUUUAAAAUAUUAGAAAAUUAUAAAUUAGGGGUUAUCAAAGCAACUUUAAUUUUAAUAUAACACAACACCAUUUACUUUUGGCCCACGGCCCUCAGUCAGGUUUGGCCCUUGUAAGGAAAAUGUUCGGGCACCAAUCAUGUGUAGUCUAUCUGAGGAGGUAACUGUUAGCAUAUGAUAAUGCGUGCUUGUACAAAGUCAGACCACAUAUUAUCAUGUUUGUCUUCAAUCAAUCAAUUUAAAUAAAAGAGAUGGGGACUUUAUAAUAUAAUAAGGGUCCAUAUAUCACAGUGAUAAUAGACAUACAUGUAUUUUUACUUUAACAUGAACUAAAGCUGAGUUAAGGCAUAUACUAUCAUAAACUAAUGAAGAGUCAUCAUUAACAUGACAUGUUUUUCAUUGUUAGUUAAUGCAUUCAUUUACAAUAAAUUAAUUUGAGUUCAUGUUGUAAUUAAGUAAGUUCAGUAAGUUACAUGUCUUAACUCAGCAUUAGUUUACUUAUAUUUAAGUAAGAAUUCAUUUAGGUAUACGUUCAAUGUUUCCAAUGAUGAGCAGUUAAUCCACUAAACCCAGAGAUAAUUCCUGAGGCAUGUUUAAAGAGUUUUGUAUUUCAUCAAGUAAGUGCUGAUUCACAAAGAUUUUAUAUUUAAGAAAAUCUGAGCAUCAUUCAAAAUAACUGUUAACAUGUUUGUCAACUAAACAUGUUUUGUCAAUGUUUUAAACUUUAUAGAAAUAUUUUUUAUUUUUUAUUAAUGACCAAGUAUAAAGAACAAUGCAUAGUGUGAAAACGCGGAUUAUAUAAAAGUAUAUAAUAAAGUGCGAGCAGAGGAUCAAUCAAACUUGGGCUGGAAUGAUUGUAGUGCAUCCAAUGGAUCUUGGAAAUCGUAGUUUACAUCUACAGCAGCAUAUGCUACAGCAGUGACAACGCCAAAGAAAAGGACUACAUUUCCCAGAAUGCACCUGCACCCACUCAUCUGGCCCCACCCUUCAGGUGCGAUCGCUUCACCUAUGGGCUUGACGGGGAAAUUCAAAAUCGCGAACCGUUACAGCCUGGACUACUCUUUGUUUGCUUGCACAUCAACAGUAAGAGGUCAUGUACACUGUGGUCAACUUUGUGGACGCUGAAGAGGUUUCUGGGUAAAGAUGAUAGAAAUAUAAUGAAGUAACAGUGGAAGCUAAAACAUCAGACUGAUCCAGACACUGAAGAAAUUGAUGUCACUGCAAUCUGGCCAAAAUGAUACAACUAUAUUGAAGUAGCCUACUGUAAUGCAGCUGCAGAACGUCACAGAGACUGAGGACAUCAACACAGAAAAUCUAGGCUCCAAAGAGAUGUCUGUCCAGAUGAGGGUGCAUCAACGUUACCUUUGCUGACAAGUAUAUGCUUUUAGCAGUUAACUUAACUCAAACCAUUUAAGGAAAUCGGUUGCCUUAAACCAUUAAGUUUUAAAAAACAUACAUUUGAGUACUGUGAACUUAAGUCUUGUGCAAUUAUGCACUUAUAUUUAGGUAGCGUGAACUUAAACAAAUUGAGUCACAU